UGGGGAAUAUUGCGCAAUGGGGGGAACCCUGACGCAGCCAUGCCACGUGAAUGAAGAAGGCCUUCGGGUUGUAAAGUUCUUUCGGUAUUGAGGAAGGUUGAUGUGUUAAUAGCACAUCAAAUUGACGUUAAAUACAGAAGAAGCACCGGCUAACUCCGUGCCAGCAGCCGCGGUAAUACGGAGGGUGCGAGCGUUAAUCGGAAUAACUGGGCGUAAAGGGCACGCAGGCGGUUAUUUAAGUGAGGUGUGAAAGCCCCGGGCCUAACCUGGGAAUUGCAUUUCAGACUGGGUAACUAGAGUACUUUAGGGAGGGGUAGAAUUCCACGUGUAGCGGUGAAAUGCGUAGAGAUGUGGAGGAAUACCGAAGGCGAAGGCAGCCCCUUGGGAAUGUACUGACGCUCAUGUGCGAAAGCGUGGGGAGCAAACAGGAUUAGAUACCCUGGUAGUCCACGCUGUAAACGCUGUCGAUUUGGGGGUUGGGGUUUAACUCUGGCGCCCGUAGCUAACGUGAUAAAUCGACCGCCUGGGGAGUACGGCCGCAAGGUU
rnacentral:rRNA from 1 species